UGGUGUCACUGGUUCUCGCGUCUAAGUAGUAGCAUUCCAUUCAUGAGAUCAUGUCUUGACAUGUUUAUUAACUCCAGAAAUUGCGUUCUUUGUUAUACAUAUAUGUGAGCGUUCGUUUCCAUAUCUACAUCAAUCUUCUCACAUAUAACUAGUAUAGGGUGUGUAGUUAGAAAAUCUGAGUGAAAAUUGAGUGCAUAUCUUGUAAGGAAUUGAGUGAUUUCUCUAAGGCAUGUUACUACAUCAAAAACAUUGUUUUAAUUGAUUAAUUGUGAACUAGUAAGUGGUAACUAUGAUUAAGUAUGUGCUUAAGUGUAAAGAUGACUAAAAUCUGUGGGGAAUAACGAUUUUUAACAUGUCAUGUGCAUUGGAAAUCCCUGAGGCAAAUGUUGGAAGGUUUAAGUUGUGUUUUAUUUGUUUUGUUUUGUUUUAUUUCUUUGUUUUGCUCGAGGACUAGCAAAAGCUAAGUGUGGGGGAAUUUGAUAGGAGCAUAUUUAUGCGACUUAAUUGGCUUGUUCUCGUGCAUUUAUGUUAUGUUUCGUUAGCUAUUUUAGUGUUUAAAGUUACUUUUGUGUGUUUUCAGAUUCCAAAGCCGAAGUGUGCAAAAUGAUGUAAUUUGGAGCGUUUUGGAGCAAAAGGAAUGGAUGAAUUGAAGACUUGAAGAAAUUAGGAUUCCUAAUCAACGAAGGAUUCCUAAUUGACGAAGGAUUCCUAAUUGAAGAAGGAUUCCUAAUCGACGAAGGAUUCCUAAUCGACGAAGGAUUCCUACUCCAAGAAGGAUUCCUAAUCACAUGAGGAUUCCUAGAAGAACAAGGAUUCCUACUCCAACAAGGAUUCCUACUUGAAAUAGGAAAGUUAAGCCAAAGUUUCCUACUUUGGUUUGAUUUUUCCUAAAUGUCCCUAAAAGUUCCAGCAAUUAUGAAGACUUCCUAAGCAUUCUAGGACAUGAAAUACACAUCUCUUGCACCUUUUAAACCCUAGCCGAAUUUCCCUUGCCCUUUCCUUUAAUUUUCUGAUUUUGUUUCCUAUUUCUAGAAGCUUUUGACUUAAAUUUCUGUUUACCUAAUUAGCCUAGGGUUUUUAAUUUCCUAAUCCCUUUAAAUAAACAUGUUUGUGCAGCCACAAACAUACCCAUUCACGCCAGAAACUGAACACCACCUUCAACAGCCCCAUUCCUUCACCAUUCACCAUAUUUUCUGACCCAAAACCACCCUAGCCGCACCACCCAUCAACCCUAAACACUUCCAUACGUCUUCCAUCCAUUCUACAUCAUUCAAUUACCCAAGAAACCACCAACAUCCAAUCUGCCGCAAGCAAGGAAAGGGGACAUAUUCACUCAAUUGUUUGGCUCUUCAUUCUGAGUUGUUGAACAAUUUUAGGUGUAUUCUAUCUUAUAU
rnacentral:lncRNA from 1 species